AUUGGGAUUUUCGAAUUUUUUUAUUGGUUUAUGUUGGUUUGUGUUGUUUAUUAGGUUAUUUGCCAUGUUGAUAUGAACAUAACCAAUGAAGUUGCACGUCUUUAUUACGUCAGACGUAAUUUCAAUCCACUCUUGAAAGAAAUGAGUUUGGGGGUCAGUUCUACUCAUACACUAAGAGCUAAUCUUGUCAAAAUAAUCAAUAACUGGGAAACUAGUUGAGUGAACUUAAAACUUUUGUGGUGCCUGAACAAUAUGGCAGCUUUGAGUACAGCUCUGCAAUUUUAUUGAGUUUAGAACACUGUUGGGGAAUACAGUGCAGAUGAGUGGGUAAAUUCAUGUGCC